rnacentral:sRNA from 1 species
UAAGAAUAGGAGUGCCAGAAUUAUUGGU